rnacentral:rRNA from 1 species
CUCUGCCUACGGGACGCAGCAGUAGGGAAUCUUCCACAAUGGGGGAAACCCUGAUGCAGCGACGCCGCGUGAAGGAAGAAGUAUUUCGGUAUGUAAACUUCUAUCAGCAGGGAAGAAAAUGACGGUACCUGACUAAGAAGCCCCGGCUAACUACGUGCCAGCAGCCGCGGUAAUACGUAGGGGGCAAGCGUUAUCCGGAUUUACUGGGUGUAAAGGGAGCGUAGGCGGUUUAGCAAGUCAGAAGUGAAAGCCCGGGGCUCAACUCCGGGACUGCUUUUGAAACUGUUGAACUAGAUUGCAGGAGG